rnacentral:rRNA from 1 species
GAUGAACGCUGGCGGCGUGCCUAAUACAUGCAAGUCGAGCGAACGGACGAGAAGCUUGCUUCUCUGAUGUUAGCGGCGGACGGGUGAGUAACACGUGGAUAACCUACCUAUAAGACUGGGAUAACUUCGGGAAACCGGAGCUAAUACCGGAUAAUAUUUUGAACCGCAUGGUUCAAAAGUGAAAGACGGUCUUGCUGUCACUUAUAGAUGGAUCCGCGCUGCAUUAGCUAGUUGGUAAGGUAACGGCUUACCAAGGCAACGAUGCAUAGCCGACCUGAGAGGGGGAUCGGCCACACUAGAACUGAGACACGGUCCAGACCCCUACGGGAGGCAGCAGUAGGGAAUCUUCCGCAAUGGGCGAAAGCCUGACGGAGCAACGCCGCGUGAGUGAUGAAAGUCUUCGGAUCGUAAAACUCUGUUAUUAGGGAAGAACAUAUGUGUAAGUAACUGUGCACAUCUUGACGGUACCUAAUCAGAAAGCCACGGCUAACUACGUG